rnacentral:rRNA from 1 species
AACCUGGCGGUUCCCUACUCUCACAUGGGGAGACCCCACACUACCAUCGGCGCUACGGCGUUUCACUUCUGAGUUCGGCAUGGAGUCAGGGAGAACUCAUCUCGGGGCAAG